rnacentral:rRNA from 1 species
UACGGGGGGGGCAGGCGUUGUUCGGAAUUACUGGGCGUAAAGGGCUCGUAGGCGGCCAACUAAGUCGGACGUGAAAUCCCUCGGCUUAACCGGGGAACCGCGUCCGAUACUGGAUGGCUUGAGUUCGGGAGAGGGAUGCGGAAUUCCAGGUGUAGCGGUGAAAUGCGUAGAUAUCUGGAGGAUCACCGGUGGCGAAGGCGGCAUCCUGGACCGACACUGACGCUGAGGAGCGAAAGCCAGGGGAGCAAACGGG